AGUGCCAUGAUUACUGUACAGCCUACAGAACUAACUUUCUUCAGUUUGUCUCUCCUGGAAGGAUGAGCACCUCCACACUCAAGGUUUGAUUAUGUUGAAGCUACGUCAUUGAUAAUCAAAUCACAAGAAACAAGGAGUUUUAGUCUUCACUGGAAGCACACCUAUGUGACCUUGAGCAAGUAUAUUCAGCCUUACUUGGUCUCCCUUUCCCCAUCUGUAAAAUGAAUGUGUGGUUGAUUGGUGGCUGGUCUGUGGAUCCAUUGCAUCAGAAUCACCUGGAAAGCUACUGCAAAUGCUAAUUUGCAGGUCCUAACCCAGUCCUGAAUAUCUUUGCAGUUGGGCCAGGGGAUCUGUAGUUUCGUACACACACACACACACGCGCGCACACGCACACGCACACGCACACAUACAGAGUCACUCCCAGGUGAUUUGGAUGCACAGCAGGGUUUGGGACACAUUGGAUUAAACAAUCUGCCUGCUUGCCUGAGUUCAGAGGCAAAAGAAAAAAAAAAAAAAAAAGCCCUUGGACGUAUCCUUUAAUAGGAGGCCAAGAAAAGGGAUCAGCCUCCUUGCGGAAGCAGGUUUGGUGCUUCAGGGAGCUACCAAGACUAUCUCUUAAGAAACAAUCCCCACUUCCCAGGCUUCUCUUGCAUUCCACCUGGGAAUCAGUGUAUAAUGCAUAUAUAGCCUACAAAGUCAAAGAACUGGCUUUCUGUGCAUUUUAUUUAAAUUGGUUUUAUGGAAAGUGGCUAAAUAGGAGAACUGAGAUAAAUGAAAGUUUUACAAAGACAUUGGAAUCUGACUAAAUAACAACUUAUCUUUGUUAUAUUUGAAGUUUCUGCAUUGAUUACUUUUCAUUCCCUUCUCGGGAGUACAGAAUAUAAAAAGGAAAUGAUUUCACAUGAUACAGUAUGUUAAUCCACUUAUUUUACCUGCACUCUGCCUUUUGAGAAACCCUCUUAACUGUAUUCUGAGGGGCAAUAAAUAACAAGGAAAUAUUGGCAA